CGCGCCGGAGUGCGGCACGUGUCCCCUCAGUGGCGCGGGAGCUGCGAACGCGGGCGAAUAGCUGGGGGUCCUGUUUUACGUAGGGGGGAGAGCGGUGCUGCCGGUGUGAUAAAUGUUAGUUUGUAAAGAGGAGCAGGAAGGAGGGUGCUAAGGCUCCAUCGCUGUGCGUCACAGAGUGACUGUCCUUCCUGGGAACCCUACAGAACCGGACCGGUGACCAUUAGGCCUUGCCAGCCUUGGGGGCUGCGGAGGAGCUACUGUCUUCGGGUGCUUUCCAUCGUUUUUUUCUCUUGUUGAGACUCAGUCGGUGGCACAGUGCAGUGCGUUGGGAUUGGGAAAUGCAAACCCAGAACGUGCUUUGCAAUGCCCUGGCCCCGUCAGUUUAAGAUAACAGUGCAACACACUCAGGAAUCCUGAGCUGGAGGCCGGGAAGUUGGCGGCCGUGGUUCCCAAACUGCAGCAGAGUGUCACACAGCCCUCCCUGGCCAGGGGCAGCUUUGGGCGGAUCUCUGUCCCCCUCUGUAGAAGGGGUCAGCAGUUGGCUGUGUCAUCCUCUCCCUGCCACCACCAUCCUCCAAGCCCACCUGAGGCUCAAAGCAAAAAGUCUGCCGGGUUUUAGAUUGGAACCUUCAAACUCUGAGCCAUGACAAACCUCUUUUCUUUAUAAGACCACAUCCUCCAUGAAGACUCAAACUCCAGCCUAAACUCAAGCUCUGCAUGCUCCACACCCUGAUGGCUAAGGCCAUCCAUUCAAGCAGUGCUUACUGAGAGGUACUAUUUUAGGACAAAGGAUGCAACAAAAAUUAAACCAGUUCCUCUGCCUCCACCACCCAUGGAUGCUGUAUUCUGGAUAGAGCAAAAGA